UCCUCCUGCCUCAGCCCCCCGAGUGCUGGGAUUACAGAUUUCAGAAUUUAGAACCUCUGAUAUGCUCAACCAGUUAAGAGAAGAAAGAAUUCAAGAAACUAUGGAGAAUGUGAAAGGAUUUUGGUCUAAAAAAGGAUCCCAUCCAGGAUCCUACAUUUUAUUGCGUUGUCACGUACCCUUGUUUCCUUCUUGGGUAUGGCUGUUUCUCAUUUUCCUGGUCGUGAAGACCCUUGAGUACUUCGCCAGGUUUUAUGGAACGCCGCUCUACCGGAAUUUGCUUCUCUAAGGUUAUACUAGGGAUGGAUUUGGGGGAGGAAGACCUAAAGGCAGAGUGCCGUUUUCACAGCGUCACGUCAGAGGAGCGUACUGCCCUAGGUAAUCACAGUGCGCGCUGGCGUCGACCCCCUGGCUGGUGGAGUUGGUCAGGAUUUUCCACUUACAGUUAAGCUUCCCAUCACCCUGCAGCCUCCUCUGACGCUGUCCUCUUUGGAGGGAAGUCACUGGGCUCAGCCCACAGUGAAGGAACGGGGAGUCAUAGAACCUUGAGGAGACAGUGUUCAUGCAAAAUAUUUUCUCCCUAGAUAUUUUUUCUUCUCUUUUCAUCUCUGUCCUCUCCUUUUCCUUCUCC